GGGGCUGGUCGUAAGACCCGGGUCCUACCAAGGCGAGGAGUUACCUC
rnacentral:ncRNA from 1 species